AUUGAACGCUGGCGGCAUGCCUUACACAUGCAAGUCGAACGGCAGCGGGGACUUCGGUCCGCCGGCGAGUGGCGAGCGGGUGAGUAAUGUAUCGGAACGUACCUUUCAGUGGGGGAUAACGUAGCGAAAGUUACGCUAAUACCGCAUAUUCUGUGAGCAGGAAAGCAGGGGAUCGCAAGACCUUGCGCUGAUUGAGCGGCCGAUAUCAGAUUAGCUAGUUGGUGGGGUAAAGGCCUACCAAGGCUACGAUCUGUAGCGGGUCUGAGAGGAUGAUCCGCCACACUGGGACUGAGACACGGCCCAGACUCCUACGGGAGGCAGCAGUGGGGAAUUUUGGACAAUGGGGGCAACCCUGAUCCAGCCAUGCCGCGUGAGUGAAGAAGGCCUUCGGGUUGUAAAGCUCUUUCGGCCGGGAAGAAAUCGCACAGGCUAAUACCUUGUGUGGAUGACGGUACCGGAAUAAGAAGCACCGGCUAACUACGUGCCAGCCGCCGCGGUAAUAC
rnacentral:rRNA from 1 species